AGAGCUGGUCAUUAAGAACCUAAUAAUUCGAUUCAAUUUCAAAUCUUAAGGCUGUGAUUUGACUCAAUUGAGUCUUAUUGUUGCGAUUCAAUUCGAUUAAUUUAAAUGAUCCAAUAUCGAUUCAGUAAGGAGUAAAAAUCCACUUAAUUGAGUAGAUUUUGACAAUUUAAAAACUUUUUUUUUUUUGCUGGAAUGUAAAUAUAUAGUACGUCACAUCAUAUUUUUUAAACAACUCAAAAUUAACUUGCACAUAACUUGUUUGUAUUGAUGCAAUACAAAAGUAAAAAAAAAUACGGCAGUUCAUAAAUACUAAAAAGGUAAAGUGCAUGUAACCUUUUUUUGUAUUUUCUCUUAAAUUGUAAUGAAAAAAAUGGACAUAUGUUUACAAGGAGUGCAAAUGUUAAAACAUGACAGCGCUCUCUUGAGUAAUGUGCAUUAAACAAUAUUUUACUUUUUUAUUUUUUAAAUUAGGGUUACAAGUGUUAUUUGUACGGUGUUUAAAACUUAAUUAAGUAGCAUGUUUCCAGCAUUGUGAGAGAAGCUAGUACUGGUACUUUCUUUGUUAAACCUUUAUCAAACAUUCAUUAAUUGCAUUUGUUUGGUAUUUUUCUCCCUCUGUGUGGCUUCUUUGUUGGGGGCUCUAGUUUGCAGAACCCGUCACAUAUUUCUGCUCGUUAGAAAUGAAAUUGAAUAUGAUAGUUACAUACGUAGGGCUCAGUCGUUCUUUGUCGAAUGCUUUCAGAACCGCUCUUAAGUUGCGUGUACAGUUAAGACUAUAACUUCUGGCAGAUUUUUGUGUUAGAAUCGCCUAUCGUCCUCAGAGUAUCUGUUAAUUUCUGUGUUCUGGAUUUACAGGGGAAUCCACAAUGACCCCAUUUUAAAAGUAGAAGUCACUUGCUUCAGGGUGCUGCUGAGCCACUAUUUGCUCAACUAGCUAUUGUUUGGCUUUCGUCCAUACAACACGAACCAUAAGCAAAGCACCCCUCAGUGGCCAGGAGGUGAAUCGAUUCAGCUGAUUUGCGCAUUUUGAUAUUGAAUUGCAAAAUAUAAAAAUGCAAUGCAUUGAUUUAUUUGAAGUUUUUUUUUUUACCCACCCUUAGUUUAAAUCAAAAGAUGAGACAUUUAUCAAAAUACAGCUGUGCACUUGUUGUGAGUACUGUACUUACAAAGUUGGAAAAGCCACCCUGUUAUUCACAAGCCACGAGGUAGACGUUUACAGCUUUCUGCAGCAGUGUACAUCAAGUGGAGCUUCUUUCGUCAAAGGCGAUAGAGUGGUCAAAGUGACGAAUUUGCAAGGUUUUUGGUUCAACACCUUCUGUUGGCAUGCCAGAAUGUUUUUUUUGCGCUAGUUAUUGUCCAAACAUGGAAGAUUAAGGAAGAUGUGAUGCUCCACCCAAAAAGAAAAGCUAAGCUUGGCAGUGACAUGAUGCCCCACUCUCCAGCAAUCCCUGCAUUCUAUCACCUGGAGAAGGAGCUGACCAAGAAGACAGUCCUUAAGGAAAUUGCAAAGCUCAACACGCACCAUCAGACCUUUUCGUUAGAGGCAUUCCGCAGUGCGAUUCUUAGAUUCCCACUUAUAGCCAUAAAUUGGAAUGAAGUGCAGUGUAUGCAGAUGACUUGCAUGUCUUCCCUCCCUGUCUGGAAACAUGCUACAUAUUCGAAGCAUGACACAGGAUGGGAUUACAAAUGUUUUUCUUUGAAGAAAGCCCCAGCACCACCUCACCAAACGUCUGGAGCCAAGAUACCUUUAAUGACUGAAAAUGUUGAGCGGGGUAUUUAACAAUUUUUUUUGUCGUUAAAUAAAAAUUUCAUUGAAUGGUCAUUAUCACUGUGUAUGUAGUUAACGCUGUUCUUUCCCCCAAAGAGCUAAGGGGCAAUCAUCUUCUUGGGGUAGAAUAAUAGUUGAAAAGUGCCACAAGUUGGUUGGCUCCAUGCCACAUAGAUGGGAAGCUGAAAAAAAAAAAAACAAAAAAAAAACUGGUCAUACAACUAUAUGUUGGUUUACUGAUUCAAAGGAGGUGGCAUGGUGGAAGCAGCUGUCGAGCAUUGGCCUCAAAGUUCUGAGGACCGAGGUUCAAAUCCUGACCCCCCGGCUGUGUGGAGUUUUCAUGUUCUCCCCGUGCUUGUGUGGGUUUUCUCCGGGCACUAAUGUUUCAUCCCACUUCCCAAAAACAUGCAAUAAUUGGAGACUCUAAAUUGCGCAGAGAUGUGAUUGUGACCGUUGUCUAUCUCCAUAUGCCCUGUGAUUGACUGGCAACCAAUUCAGUGUACUCCGCCUCCUGCCCAAUGGUAGCUGGAAUGGGCUCUCGCGACUGUCUUGAUGAUAAGCAGCUCAGAAGAUGGAUGAAUGAUUCAAAGGAUUGGUAAACCUCAGAAACAAAAGUUAGCACAAAAUGUUUUUGAGUUUAAGUUAACGGCAGACUUUUAAUGCACCCCUUUCAAUAAAUUGCCAAUUGCACAGCCUAAAGAGUGGGUAUGUCACGAAUGCUGCUGCUUGUUGAUUUUCUGAGACUACUGCACAUACUGGUAACAAUUACAAAUAUAGUGACAACGUGGAUUAAAGUGGUUAGUCACAUUGUACUGUUAUUAUUUUGAAUACAACUGUGGGUUGUACCUGUAUCCAUACGGUGCUGUGAAGAAGUACAGUAUUCACUCCCCUUCUGAUUUGUUUUCUUUCUGAAUCACACACGGGUUUCAAAUAAUCAAACCAAUUUUAACAGCUCUCAGAACUUGAGGAAAUGGAAAAGGCAGUUUUCAAAUGACAAUUCAAUUUAUUAAGGCACACACAAAAAAAAAAACUUCUGACCCACUUUGUGAAAUGCAAAUGCCCCCUAGUUUUAAAUUAUAAAGUCACUGUGACUAACCACAAAUUUGGGAAAGGUAAGUCUAGAAAAGGAUAAAAAGUCAUUUCCAAGGUUUUGGGGCUCCUGUGAACCACUGUCAGAGCAAUUAUCCAUAAUUGGGAACAGUGGCAAACAUUCGCUGUAGUGGACGACCAACUAAAAUUACAAGAGUGUGAUGACGACUCGUCCAAAAGGUCAUGAAAGAACCUUGAACAACAUCGAAAGCCCUGCAGGCCUUGCCAGGCUCAGUUAAGGUCAGUGUUUAUGACUACCAUAAAAAAAUUGGCCAAAAAUGGCCUCCAUGGGAAAGUUCCCUGGCAAAAAAAACUGCUGUCAGCAAAAAAUACAAAGGCUCAUCUCACAUUUGCCAAAACAUCUUGAUGAUCCUCAAGUCUUGGAGAAUCAUUCUGAUUGACGAGUCAAAAAUUGAACUUUUCGGAAGGUGUGUAUCCAGUUAGAGCUGGAGAAAAAAUGGCAUAGCAUUUGAUAAAAAAAGAACAUUAUGCCAACAGUGAAGCAUGGUGGGGUUACUUUGCUGCCUCAGGACCAGGACAACUUGCUGUAAUUGAUGGAACAAUGAAUUCUGCUGUGUAUCAGAAAAUCCUGAAGGAGAAUGACCAUUAGUUGGUGUCAUCAAACUCAAGCACUCUUUGAUUAUGCAGCAGGACAACCAUCCAAAACACACCAACAAAUCCACAUAUUCAUAGCUAAAAAAAAAAAAAGAAAAAAACUAAAUGCAUGUUUUGGAGUGCCAAGUCAAAGUCUGGAUUUAAGUCCAAUUGAGAGGACAUGCGGUGUGACCUUAAACGGGCAGUUCAUGCUAGAAAACCCUCCAAAAACUCAUUGCCAAUUAUCACAAAGCCUUGAUUUCAGUUUUUGCUGCCAAGAGUUGCAUAGCCCUUUAUUAGAUUCAAGGGGCAAUAACUUUUUCACAGAUGGUCAGAAAAUUUUGGAAUUUUUUUUAUGCCUUAAUUCAAUUACAUAUUUGAAAACUGCAUUUUCUAUUUCCUUGGGUUGUCACUGAGUCAUGUUAAAAUUGGUUUGAUGAUUUGAAACCUUUGUGUGUGAUAGAUAUGAAAAAGAAACAAAUACUUUUUCAUGAGACUGUAUAUUCACGCAGGCUGCCAGUUGAAAUUUCAAACACACACCAAUCUCGGCAGUCUAAAGCAAGGGUGCCCAGACUUUUUUUGAUGAUGCUCCCAAUGUUUUGUUAUUAAUGUUAUGUGAUAUACUGUAUAUAAAUAUAUAUGUAUAUUUAAAAUACAGAAUUUUCUUUUCAUGCACUGUAUACUCUGGGCUUUCAUCCUGGUUAAGGCUGUGCCAAGGUGGAAUGUUAAACUUACACACCAUCUCAUCCUACACUUUCUUCUAUGGCUUCAGACCAGACCUUUCCCACUCGGAAAAGAGAAAAUCUUGUCCAGUUUAACCACUUUUUCUUCGAUUAUUCACAUACUCUGACAGUCAUUGCAUCUUAAAACAACAGCAUUUAUUUUUUAACUUUCGCUGUUAAUAUCGAAAGUAAACUUCAGCAGCAUGUCUAACUCGUCUUUGCUCUACGUGUCCCAGACUGUGUUGCGAACUAAAGCAGCGUUGGAGGACGCUGUCAUUAUAAAACACAUUGAUGGGCUGCGUAAGUACUGUAAUAUUUGUAAUUAUGAGUGUAUGUCGGCGUAAGGUAAACUAGGAAAAAGAAAGUGUGGUGGAGCAGCGGUGUGGCUGUGGAGUUUUUGACCAACGUAUUCAAUAGAAUAGCUCCAGGGAGAAGACAUAGUGAGGGUGGAUGACUUCAAAUACUUGGGGUCAACAUUACAGGGCAAUAGAGACUGUGGUAAAGAAUUGAAGAAAUGGGUCCAAGCGGGGUGGAAAAGUUGGCGGAAGGUGUCAGGUGUUCUAUGUGACGGAAGAGUAUCCGCUAGGAUGAAGGGCAAAGUUUAUAAAACAGUGGUGAGGCUGGCCAUGAUGUAUGGAUUAGAGACGGUGGCACUAAAGAAACAACAGGAAGCAGAACUGGAGGUAGCAGAAAUGAAGAUGCUGAGGUUCUCACUUGGAGUGAGCAGGUUGGAUAGGAUUAGAAAUGAGCUCAUUAGAGGAACAGCCAAAGUUUGAGGUUUUGGAGACAAGGUUAGAGAGAGCAGACUUGGAUGGUUUGGACAUGUUCAGAGACGAGAGAGUGAGUAUAUAGUAGGUAGUAGGGUGCUGAGGAUGGAGCUGCUAGGCAAAAGAUAGAGAGGAAGACCAAAGAAAAGGUUGGUGGAUCUUGUGAGGAAGGACAUGAGGACACUGGGUGUUAUAGAGAGGAGAUUGCACGAGAUA